UCCUCGGGCGUGCUCCGCUUCUAUCGUUGGUUCGCCUCUCAAUCGCGUCUCGUCCACCGCCGCCGGGCCGCCGCCCUCCGUUUCUCCUCCUCCCGCCCAUUAUCAUUGUCAUCAUCUUCUUCUUUGGCUUUUUUCUGGCCCGUGGAAUAAUAUUUCGGGUUUUAGGUGGCAACCCGUCAGAUAUUUCGAACUCUAGCUUGCAGCUUUGAUCGGUCAUCUUUUCUGAUCGAGGAGCAGCAGUAUGUUACUUAUUGGAAUUUGGUCUGAAUUGACUGAUCAACAUAAGAAGCCUCUUGUCUUGGUUAAUUGGAACUCUCAUUCAGCACUUGGAGUAUAUUGAGAUAAAAUAUCAUGUCUAUGAUGAGGUCUGUAGAUUCAUCUACUGCAUGUGGCGAAUCUAAUCUUUACACUCGCAAAGAUGGCAGCAACAAUCCUACUUUAUCUAGGCACAUACUAAGUGCAGAUAAGCAAAUGUACAAUUAUGGAUCUGGUUUGUGCCAUACAGACUUGUUUCCUAAGCAGUACUUAGCCAAUUCGCCAUCAGAAAUAAUGCAUGUCAGUUCACUUCAUAUUCCAGGUCAUCAUUAUGUUCAAGAACCUUCAGCUCCAUGCCAACUAAUGGCUAAUAUUCAUUCUUCUGUAAUAUCAAAUAAUCCUUAUAGCAGUUGCUUUGAAGUUAGCCAUCCUGUUUCCUCAUCCAGCUCUAACAUUUCUCAUCAGACCUCUCAUUCUUUGCUUGAAAAUCCCAGUCCAGAGCCAGAUAUGGACUAUGGUGAGGAAGAAAUCAGGUUGAAGCUUCAAGAACUUGAGCAGGCUCUUCUGUAUGAUAAUGAGGACUUGGAUACAGAUGAUUUGAUGGGAGUUGACAGUGAUUGGGGUGAACCUAUUAAAAAUCUAUUGUCUACAAACUUACCAGGGGGGUCUUAUUCAGAUUCUAGCAUCAGUUGUAUCGGCAGCAAUAAGGAGCCAAAAACUGCCAAGCAGCUGCUUUUGGAUUGUGCUGCUGCAAUAUCUGAAGGCAGUAUAGAGGAAGCACAAGCUAUCAUAAGUUGGCUUCGUCAAAUUGUUUCGAUUCAAGGGGAUCCUCCUCAAAGGCUUGCUGCCUACAUGGUGGAAGGUCUUGCUGCUCGGAUAGCCUCUUCAGGGCGAGGUAUAUAUAAGGCUCUAAAAUGUAAAGAACCUCCAUCUUCCGAUCGACUAUCAGCAAUGCAGAUUCUAUUUGAGAUCUGUCCAUGUUUUAAAUUCGGUUACAUGGCAGCCAAUUACAUAAUUUUGGAAGCUUUCAGAGGUGAAGAAAAGGUUCAUAUCAUAGACUUUGAUCUGAACCAAGGAAUCCAAUACUUAAACCUGAUACAAACAUUAUCAACCUUGUCAAGAAAACCAUCACGUGUAAGAUUUUCCGUGAUUGAUGAUCCUGAAUCAGUGAAUCGACCAGUUGGAGGCUUGCGAGUCAUUGGUCAGCGCCUUGAGAAGCUAGCGGAGGAUCUUGGCGUGCCAUUCGAAUUUCAACUCAUUGAUGCUAAGACUGGGGAUGUAACACCUGAAAUGUUAGAUUGCCGGCCUGGAGAGUCUCUUGUGGUUAACUUUUCUUUUCAUCUCCAUCAUAUGCCAGAUGAGAGUGUAUCAACUGUGAAUGAGAGAGAUCAACUUCUUCGAAUGGUGAAGGGAUUAAGACCAAAGCUGGUUACCAUUGUUGAGCAAGAUAUGAAUACCAACACAGCUCCAUUUUUCCCAAGGUUUGUGGAGGCUUACAAUUAUUAUUCGGCGGUCUUUGAUUCACUCGAUGCGACUCUUCCAAGGGAUAGCACAGACAGAAUGAAUGUCGAGAGGCAAUGCCUUGGCCGCGACAUUGUUAACAUCUUGGCUUGCGAAGGUGCUGACCGCAUAGAGAGGUACGAGGCUGCUGGAAAGUGGAAAGCAAGGAUGACAAUGGCGGGGUUUGUUUCAAGCCCAUUCAGCAGCAAUGUCAACGUACCGAUAAGAGCGUUGCUGAAAUCAUACUGCGAUCGAUACAUGGUCAAGGAGGAGACUGGCACACUAUACUUUGGAUGGGAGAGUAAGGCCUUGGUAGUUGCCUCAGCAUGGAAAUAAAGUUUAGAUGUAGCCACUAGAUAUGGUAAUAAUAACCAUAACUCGGAUUCUCUUGGGAAGGUUGCCAUUGAAUAAGGUGUUGAACCACAAUUUUCUAUGCAAAUGCAGCUGGUUUCAUUGCUUGAGCUCUGAUGAUUCUGUUUAAGUGUAAUGAUCGAAUGAAAAUGGAUAAACUGAAAUAUAUGGAUGAAAUAUUUUGGUAGUGCAA